rnacentral:rRNA from 1 species
CUACGGGGCGCAGCAGUGGGGAAUAUUGCACAAUGGAGGAAACUCUGAUGCAGCAACGCCGCGUGGAGGAUGACACUUUUCGGAGCGUAAACUCCUUUUAUAUAGGAAGAUAAUGACGGUACUAUAUGAAUAAGCACCGGCUAACUCCGUGCCAGCAGCCGCGGUAAUACGGAGGGUGCAAGCGUUACUCGGAAUCACUGGGCGUAAAGAGCGUGUAGGCGGGUUAAUAAGUCAGAAGUGAAAUCCUAUGGCUCAACCAUAGAACUGCUUUUGAAACUGUUAACCUAGAAUAUGGGAGAGGUAGAUGGAAUUUCUGGUGUAGGGGUAAAAUCCGUAGAGAUCAGAAGGAAUACCGAUUGCGAAGGCGAUCUACUGGAACAUUAUUGACGCUGAGACGCGAAAGCGUGGGGAGCAAACAGGAUUAGAUACCCGAGUAGUC